AUCACGUGGGUUUGACAUCACGUUUCCGUAGGCCUAGGAGGGCCGUGAACGAGUGGAGCGAGUGAGGCGGGUGAGUGGUCUCGACAGUCGGCGUUGGCUCACACGACGGGAGGGAGCAGUAGAAGUAGAAAGCAACGAUUCUCUCCAACGAAAGGAGAAUUGGAUCUUGGAUCAAAAGCUGGGAGGACAGCAUGCUCGACACACAUGUGUGACUCUGUGGGGGUACCGAGAUGCAUUUAUAUAACGCACAUCAGGACUGACUCCUUGGAUACAGCAGGUCCAUGCACUAAAGUGUCUGGUGACAUUUCUGGAAUUCUAAACUAUAAGAGGAAAGGAAUGUCCCCAGCGAUUGUGGUUUACGUGAGGUUUCCAUCAGUGAAACAUUCUUAGAGUCCUUUACGUGUACCGUAACUGCAAGAUUUCACAACAAUAUUACAGUAAAAAGGACCAGAGCUGUGACCUCACUCUUCACAACAGACGAGCACUAAGUAGAAGAUGGGGCGGAUUUAGUCAGGUCGUUGUUCUUGCAUCGCUGACACCUGAAGUUACAAAUAUAAAGGACGCGUGACCGGUGACAAAAGGAGCAAAGAUCUCGCCGUGUCGGGUACUGACACUGGCUGGCACACCAAUCCUCUUUUCACACAAACAGGAGUGGCUACCUCAACAGCCACUGGGCAAAGAGUCGUCUACAGACCUUAGAACAUCCAUUAGAACAGGAAAAGUGGUUUAGUUUUAGUAAGAGUUUUACGGCACUUGCAACACAAUAAGGUCAUAUAAGUGCCGAAGAUUAGAGGUGUUACAAGAGAGUAACAAACAUAAAGAAAGAAGGAGGGGAGAUAAAGACAAUAGAUGUUUGAUAGGAAAGAAGAAGCAAACCACACCAGAGCACCCGCCAACUAGGAAAAAUGGCCAAUGACUCGUAGCCUGAAACUCCGACCAACACUAACAGCCACCAAACGGUCGUACCUCGACAAACUGAAACGUUUGAGCCUGCCCCCGUGGAAUGAAUGAGGAGACCCAGUGAGACAGACAAUAAAUCCAGGCCGUAUACUCCAACUACAUAAAGACGCAGAGAGAGAGAGAGAGAGAGAGAGAGAGAGAGAGAGAGAGAGAGAGAGAGAAACAGAGCCAGAGAGACAGAGAGACACAUUCAGACAGAGAAAGAGAGAGAGAGAGAGAGAGAGAGAGAGAGAGAGAGAGAGAGAGAGGAGGCAUACAGUAAAGUACAAAAUUUGAUCCUCUUGAUCCUCUUCAUCAAGCCACUCGGUGUGACCGAUGAAUGAAACAAACUUUAGAAUCCCCAUCACCGACUGUACAAGGACGCUGAAAGAGACCAGACAACAACUUCCAAACCUUCCGUGAAGACACACGAAUCGACACAAGACAGGUCCACGACAAGAAGUCCCGGACAUACACUUACUACUAACAAAGACGCCAGAAGAGGCCAUACGUUAGGGGCGGGGUUUUUUCUUUGGUUUGGUUUGGUUUUGUUUGGUUAAUUUGUUUGGGUUUUUUUAGCCAGAAAGACGCCGGAAAAGGAUAGGACAUAAUACUUUACGGCGGGUUUUUUCUUUUGUUUGUUUGUUUGGAUUUAAAAACAAUUUAAAAUCAAAUACGGUCAUGUCGGCACAGCCUGCAGCCCAACUUCUGACCUCCAGCCUUCCGGAGAAAGGAUUCGACAUGUCUGGAUCAGUCCUGGACCAGAUGUGGAACCAGUCUGUCGACACCAACAUCAGCAGCGACGGCAACAGCAACGCCAGCCUGUACACGGACACCACCAACCCGCGCCUCGUCAACGGCGUGAUGGUGCUGCUGCUGCUACUCCUCAACCUCAUGGGCAACGGGCUGGUCUUCUGUGUGUACCACGCUAUGGCGAAGCGAAACGUGUUCUCGCUGUUCGUCAAGGUGUUGGCGGUCCUGGACCUGGUCACAGCACUGACCACCAUGCUGAUGGACACCAUGUCCAAGAUGCGGCCGCUGGACGAGCGCGCGCUCAACCUGGACGUGCUGUGCAAGCUGACUCACUUCCAGGUCUACGCCACCAGCCUGGCCAGUGGCUGUGUGCUCACGCUCAUCGCCUACCAGAGAUACAGGAAGAUCUGCAGACCCCUCAAGCCCAGCAUAACCAUCCGUCAAGCCAAGCUGGUGGUGGCGGCGGGCACCGUGGGGAGUGCCCUGUUCAGCGUGCUGGCCCUGGUCAUCAACGGGCCGCAGGAGAUCACCAUCCGGAUGAACAACGGAGAGCUGGCGCGCGUGCUCAUCUGCCGCUACGACCGCCGCUUCGCCGGCACGCCCCUGCAGCUGGCGCUCUCCCUCAUCCUGCUCACCGCCUUCUCCGUCACGCUCUUCCUCACCGUCUUCUUCUACUUCCUCGUCUACCGCGCGCUGAGGAACUUCGAGCGUCGGAACUCGCUCACGGGCGGCGGCGCCGGCAGCUGCAGCAACCCCAGCUCGCCCACGUCACCGUUGGGCCUGGACUCGGCCGCUGGUGGAGCCGUCGCCGGAGGUCAUGGCACAGCGCCCACGCCGCUGCCAGAGUUCCCGAUCGCCGCGCAUCGCGAGUACGCCGAGGCGGCCCCGCCGGCGGAAGAGCGGCGACGCCGGUACCGCGAGCAGACGCGGCAGUCUCGCGCGACGUCCAUCUUCUCGGCCGGCGGCGGCGGGGACCGCGUGUCCAGCCAGAUGUACAAGACGUUCCUCAUCAUCACCGUGGUGUUCAUCGUUAGCUACUUGCCGCACCUGGUCGUGCUCAUCCUCAACAAGGUGCUGAGGCUGGACAGCCAGGUGCUCACCUACACGCAGCGCGUCUUCCUUGAGCUGGCCUACAACUGCCCCUACAUCAGCACCGUGGCCAACCCGGUGGUCUACGGCUUCCGCAGCGCAGAGUUCCGCGAGAACUGCCGGAAGUUUCUCAGUUGUCACUGCAGGAACCGACGAAGGAGAUACGGUUACUGAGGGAGGAAGGUUCCGCCAGUACUACCCAAAAAAAAAAACCGCUAGUAUAAAUAUGUGCAUUGGAAAGGAAGGAUAUAUCUCACUCAUAGAGGUAGUCCUAGUACCGACGCACAGUGGGCUGCAGACGACGUAUAACGCGUAUUGAUGACUUCAAUGUCAUAUUUUACUGAAACACGCCAACUUGGUAUUUGAAUCGGAAAAGUAGCUCACGGCUGCGGGGUACCUAACAAUGAAGUGGGCUUCAAACAAUCCCCAAAGCGUUCUGCAGACGUUGGCAGUACGAUAAACUGGUAUACCAGACGGUACCAGGUACUGCAGAAUAAUUAACAACGAGCUGCAGAUGACACAUCAAGCGUUGACAGUACAGUGGGUGUCGCAUUCAACGAGGUCACAUUCAACAAGAAGUCGGGUCCAACGAGGCAAUCCUUAAUCCCCGAUUUUUUCCUCUAUAUCUCUUUGUAAAUGUACGUCAGCUCCAACGAAGACCGACUAACAAGCAUAAGGGACUGCCAAGCCCUAACAGGACGGCUAGUUCACGGCAGAGGGCCGUGUGCUUCCACUGGAUUCGUAACACAUACUGAGAACUUUGGUGGUGGAGUAACCAGUUCAUACAAGGUGUAGUUUGUCGAAUUGCCCGGAAAUAGAAAACACACUGUGUAGGAUGGCAUUCUAAAGGCGAGGAAAAGAUGACAUAACUUCAUUGGGCGAAAAAAUUACCUUUUUAUCCUUCUUUCUCCUGGAAAAAAAACCGCUAUGGGAUCCGUCUGAUUCUUUGUUUACAAAAGAUUCAUCUAUAGGCCUAUACUCUGAAAUCGAAAAGGCCCAUAUUACGAACAUUGGGAUUAAUUACUUCUUGGACUGGAUAAUCAUCUCAAACCACGAGAAAGACUGUCGAGCAUUAACUAAUAACAUGUUUAAAUUCGUUGUGUCAUUGUACUAAAAGUACAAGUGUCAUUGUACUAAAAGUACAAGAAAAAUGGAAGAGGACAGCUCGUGUGUACGCAUCUGAGCAGUGUGAAUGAGGGAAAUAACCACUUCCGGUAUUACUUUUGCUGCCGAGCUGUAAUUUACGUCGUCGCACAACAACGGCCAUACUUCCUCUCCAACAUAACACUAAUACUGUAUCAUAAUACUGAAUUAGAAAAAAAUAGCAACGCAAACAGUAA
rnacentral:misc_RNA from 1 species